UUAGAUUAUGUUUUGGAUUCAGACACAUACUUUAAAGCAUAAAGGCGGCGCCAAAGCGCCGAAACACACUUUACCUCCACGGAGUUUGAAGGGUCGAAGGCCAUAAAUGGCCAUUCAUUAAUGAUCCCUCCGCAGGUUCACCUACGGAGA
rnacentral:misc_RNA from 1 species